rnacentral:rRNA from 1 species
UACGAAGGGUGCAAGCGUUAAUCGGAAUUACUGGGCGUAAAGCGUGCGUAGGCGGUUGGCUAAGUCAGAUGUGAAAGCCCUGGGCUCAACCUGGGAAUGGCAUUUGAAACUGGCUGGCUAGAGUGUGAUAGAGGAUGGCGGAAUUCCCGGUGUAGCGGUGAAAUACGUAGAGAUCGGGAGGAACAUCCGUGGCGAAGGCGGCCAUCUGGAUCAACACUGACGCUGAGGCACGAAAGCGUGGGGAGCAAACAGG